CCAGUAUCCCCAGUGCCGCCCACUUCACUUGCACCCACAUCUGUGCCCUACACCUUCUCCAGCUCCUCAUUCCUCACCUGCAGAAGCCAUCCAUGUCACAGCACUGUGAGGUUGUAUGGGAUCUGGAGGCAGGUCGGGGGGAGGAGAGGCCAAAGGUGGGCUAUGGGGGUCCUGGGAUGGUGAUGGGGGUCCUGUCAGGGAACAUGGGGGUUAGUGAGUUCCCAGGGAGGAUCUUGGAGGUGUAAAGGAGGUCUGAGGGAGGAAAUAGAAGGAUUCCGUGGAAGCCCAGUGGGGGACAUGGGGUGCUGCUGGGGACUGUGGGGCUCCAUGUGGCUAUGGGCCAGCUAUGGGGGAGGUGUACUGGGUCUGAGGGGGUCCUCGAGGGGCUCCAGGGCUCACUGGGGGGCUACAGGGUGUCUCUAGGGGUCUUGCUGGGAAACACUGGGAGGGAUAUUGGGGCUCUGAGGGAAUGAUGGGUGCGCUGUCAUGAGAAAGGAAAGGGCAGCCUUGUGGAAAGCAAGGGGCAGCCAGGGGGAUGGAAGGGAAUCCUACCGGAAUGCAAGGGGAAUCCAGGCUGAGGCAAGGGGACAGCUGGGGGAAGAACAGGGAAACGUCCCAGCAACGGACUUCUUCUUUCACAUCCACAUCUUCUGCUUCCCAGCUGUGCU
rnacentral:lncRNA from 1 species